UUCUGAAAAAUGGGUUCUGAUGUUUUUUUAUUUUUUUGAAACAGAAAUGAGGUAAAACCUGUAUGGAAGCCCGGUUCAAUUUCUUGUUUUUUUGAAAUGAACCGGGUACUUAUGAGACUUUUGAAUCCUUUUUUUGGAGCAAGAAAUACUUGCUUUUCACUUUCAGAAUUGAUUCUGAGCAAAAGGCGCCGAAACAUAUGUAGCACUUAAGUUAUGAAGGGUAAAUAGGGAAAUUACCCCCAAAACAUAACAAAAGGUAUGUUUCAAGGGUAUUGUAAACCCUAACCCCACUUUGCACUUGGAGAACAUCUAGAGAAGAGAAGGAGAGAAGAAGACGCGAGAAGCAGAGCUGAAACGAAGAGCAUCACCAUCUUCGAUCUGCCAUCCAUCUGCGAGGUUUUUUGUUGUUCCAGCGAGUUUGAGCCUUCAAGGGGAAGCGAGGUAUUGAGAAACAUCCUUUUCAACUUCCUGAUUUCAUUGCUGCCACUGGGAUUGAAAAACUAAGACAGAAUCUUUUAUUUGGAAAUUUGUUUGGAGGGCUUCACCAACAACCGAUAAAUUGAGGGAAUAUACAUUAACCCUCUUUGUCCGAUGUUGUCUACAUUUUGGAACUUUGAAACAUCUCAUGUUGUAUUGUAAUUGCCUGUCACCUGUGGCAAUGUUCAGUUAUAGGAGUUCAGCCUGGUUUCUUCACUAAUAAUUAUGUCAAGAAGGUUGUUCAUCAUCUUUAGACUCUACUGCUCUGGACAUCAUUGAACAAUAGAAUUUUUUUUAAGUGCAGCUGCAGUUAUAAUGCAUCAGAUUUUUAUAGCACAAAAUCAUAUUGUUUAUAGAAAUAAAGGUACCCAUCCAUCCAUUGUUAUGCAUCUCAUAAACAAUGGCCUUUAGAAUGCAAAUUUUCAACUCUUUUGAUGCUUUCCAAAACUGCAAUU